UGGCCCAGAUCGUUUACCGUGAAAAAAUUAGAGUGUUCAAAGCAGGCAGAUCCAAUUUUCUGCCACCGAAUACAUUAGCAUGGGAUAAUGGAAUAGGACCCUGUCCUCCUAUUUUCAGUUGGUUUUGGCAGCGCGAGGACUAGGGUAAUGAUUAAUAGGGAUAGUUGGGGGCAUUAAUAUUUAAUUGUCAGAGGUGAAAUUCUUGGAUUUAUGAAAGAUUAACUUCUGCGAAAGCAUCUGCCAAGGAUGUUUUCAUUAAUCAAGAACGAAAGUUAGGGGAUCGAAGACGAUCAGAUACCGUCGUAGUCUUAACCAUAAACGAUGCCGACCAGCGAUUAGGAGACGUUGAAUACAAAACACCACCAUCGGCGCGGUCGUCCUUGGCGUUGGUCCUUCACGGGGCCGGCGCGAGGGCGGCUAGCCC
rnacentral:rRNA from 1 species